GGCAGAGUGCAGGGGCCUGUCCCGGCUCUGCCACUUCCUUGCUGGGAGGCUCCGGAGUAACACUAAUCUUUUUGGAACUUUGUUUUCAUAAACUGUCAAAAAGGAAAGAAAACACCCACCUUUUGGACCAUGAGAAUCCUAUGGAAGACAUCCCCUACACAGGGAAGGCCAUUAAUUCUACCCCCCAGGCCACAUCCGUUGGGCUCCUCCUCUUGGGAGGAGAUUUGGGGGCUGCCCCACUGGGCUUGCCACUUGAGAAGUGUGGGACACAGACUGCCCUCAGAGCUGCCUGGACACCUCAGCCCUUCCCUCCCCAGGCCCAGCCUUCCUCCCAGGAUUCCCUGGCUCCCUGCCUGGCCUUCUCCCCACACAAACUCCUCAGAGGCUGAGGCUCCUGCUCGGCAAGGAAAUACUGCCUGUUUUCAGCUCUGGCUGGUUCCUCACGUGGCACCCCUUCAGGACUUGUCCUGACCUGGAGCUGCCCUCCCAAACCCUCAGAGCACCGAGGGCUCACAGUGACGCUGGCUCCACCCACAUUUCAGUCCUGGUCCUCCUGUGCCUCUGUGACUCGCCUGAGUGGCUUGUGUACAUCUGCUUUCACUGCAAACGCUCCAGUGUCCUCCCUACCCCUCCCCUUAUCCUGUACCCAUCCCUGUCCUUCCCUCCUGGAGAGAACUACCCCAGGAAAGCCAUGCUGAAGGGAGCCAGGCAAGAUGGCAGGAGGGAGAUGUCUGCUUCUCGGACUGUGUGAUCAGCCGGGGAAGGUAUGUCUCUUGUAAACAUCAUGGAAUUAUGUGGUAUCCAGCUUUCAAGAUGUCCACCAAAGAGCUCUAUGACACCCUUGUGCAGUCCAACACUACAGCUGACCCGUGUAACCAACAGGAUAUGGUGCAGAUAACCUCUUUGACUCUGACACCAGGUCAUAAAAGACAUUGUGUCUUUCACUUCGCUGUCUCUUGGGCCAUCUGCUCUGUGGAAAGCCGGUCGCCAAGUCAUGAGGACAUUCAAGCAGCACUAUGGAGAGCUCCACAGAGUCAGGGACUGAGGCCUCCCGCCCAUGACUGGCAUCAGUUUACCAGCCUGGUGAACGAGCUAUCUUGGCAGUGGAUCCAGCCUCAGUCAAGCCUUCAGGUGUCAGGGGCUCUCACUGACAUCUGAGGGACUCUGAACUAGAACCAGUGAGGGAAGCUAACCAAAAGCAGAGGAGUAUUUUUCAGCUUCUAUAAAGAAAAAUGCUCUCAUUUUUCUUGAAA